UAUUAACUGUGCACCUUGAAAGGCUGGAGAAACUAAGCAACUAGAGUCUCAUAUGAAGUUCAGCAAACAGAAAUGCAAAGUCUUUGGGGAAUAAUAACCACGUGCAGGUUGGGGUCUGGUAGAGUGGAAAACUGCUUGGCAGAAAAAGUCCUGAGGGUGCUGGCAGACAACAGGUGGAACUUGUUUUAGUAAUGUAUCCUUGUAAAGCAACAGCAUCCUUGGCUACUUCAGGAGGAAUACCUUCAGCAGAUCAGUUUGCAGGUGGUACAAAGCUGGGAGGAGGAUCUGACACAGCAGAAUAUUGUGCUGCCAUUUAGCAAGACCUGGAGAAACUGGAGAGUUGGGUGGAGAGAAACCUGAUGAAGUUCAACAAGAAGAACGUGUACUAAAUUCCUGAGAUUCUCCUGAAGAAUUUCAGAAUCUUGAUAUCAAAGUAUUUUAUGUCUAAUUUACACUUUGAUUCCUGCUCUGAAGAGGAACACCCUUUCCUUCACUCCACUGUGUGUCUCACCUUUUAUGAACACUUUCUGGUAGCAUUCCGUAACUUUAUGAAGCAUCUUAAAGACGUAUUGACUUAUUGCCAGGCACAGAUUGGAUAGUGGGAAUAAACAGAACUAGUUUUGAAAUCAGUACUAAAUAGCAAUCACAUUAGUUUAAUCAAAAUGUCUUUACUCAAAAGCAAUGUUGUCAUCUUCCCCUUUACCAUCCUCAAAAACAAUCCAAAGGCUCCAGUCCCUUGUUCAUCUGGUGGCUGUGUCGGACAAUCUCCUGUAUAUCCAGGUAUCUCUUGUAUUCCAGAACUAGACACAGAACUCCGGGUGUAGCCUAAGCAAUGUUGAAUAGAGGGGAAGGAUUACCUCUCUUAACUUGCUGGUGUGGAAUUCUUUUGUGCAAUUUGAGGAAUUUCUUGAUUCUGUAAAAAUUUUAGAAAGAUACGGUAAAUCAUAUCAAGGGAAAAAAUAUUAAAAGAUCAAUUUCUCUCGCUUGACUUUAAUGGAUUUUGUAAUAUUUUGCAUAUCUUUAAAUGUGCGUAUUAUGAACUUGUAAAAUAACAGAAAAGUACUUCCGUUGUUUAAGUCCGGUAUAUAUACAUAACUUGUAAUACCUGAAUUUAUUCCCUCCCUGACUGCUAUGACCUAAAAAUAAAAUAGAAUAUUUGGAUAGAUUUUUAUUUGUUUGUUUGUUUUUCCCAUGGGAAACCCCUAAUUUCUAUCUACUCAGCAUUUUAAAAUUUCAUCUUUAACUUUAACAAGUAUUUUUACUUUAACUUGUCUGUUAAUUUUAUCUACCUGACAACUUUAGACAGUCAGUCUGACAAGCACAGAUAAUUUGUAUAGUUUAAAAGUCCUGUGAACUUUAUGUCAGUGAUGUCUUGAUUCUAAAUCUGGAUUUGAAAAUGUAAUUUCAGGACUACUGUGUUUUCAGGACAGGCACAGACCUAAAUUCAGGGCCUAGACUAGUGACGUGCUUUCAUACUCUAGACUUCUGCUGAACAAUAAUUC
ensembl:lncRNA